AAAAUCCGGCAGCUCUUAACUCCGAGGUGUGAUGACGAGGCUCCACGCGAGCCGAAGUGAAUAACGCCCCGCUUCCAGGAAAAGCCUCUAAGCUUCAGAUCACAUUGGACCGUACCGUAAACCGACACUGGUGGGUGAGCAGAUAAUCUGCCAAGGCGCUUGAGAGAACUCGGGUUAAGGAACUCUGCAAAUUGAUACCGUAACUUCAAGAAGGUAUGCCUUCGACGGUGUAGGGAUUUACUCCCGAAGCUGUUGAAGGUCGCAGGUAAUCGGUGGCUGCGACUGUUUAUCAAAAACACAGGACUCUGCGAACACGCAAGUGGAAGUAUAGGGUCUGACGCCUGCCCGGUGCCGGAAGGUUAAUUGAUGGGGUUAGCCGCAAGGCGAAGCUCUUGAUCGAAGCCCCGGUAAACGGCGGCCGUAACGAUAACGGUCCUAAGGUAGCGAAAUUCCUUGUCGGGUAAGUUCCGACCUGCACGAAUGGCGUAACGCUGGCCACACUGUCUCGACCCGAGACUCAGUGAAGUUGAAAUCGCUGUGAAGAUGCGGCGUUCCCGCGGCAAGACGGAAAGACCCCGUGAACCUUCACUACAGCUUUACACUGAACUUUGAACCUUUCUGUGUAGGAUAGGUGGGAGGCUAUGAAACUUGGGCGCUAGCUCGAGUGGAGCCAACCUUGAAAUACCACCCUGGGAUGUUUGAAGUUCUAACCUUGGUCCGUAAUCCGGAUUGGGGACAGUGUAUGGUGGGUAGUUUGACUGGGGCGGUCUCCUCCCAAAGAGUAACGGAGGAGUGCAAUGGUACGCUCAGCGCGGUCGGUCAUCGCGCUCUAGAGUGCAAAGGCAUAAGCGUGCUUAACUGUGAGACAGACACGUCGAACAGGUACGAAAGUAGGUCUUAGUGAUCCGGUGGUUCUGUAUGGAAGGGCCAUCGCUCAACGGAUAAAAGGUACUCCGGGGAUAACAGGCUUAUUCCUCCCAAGAGUCCACAUCGACGGAGGAGUUUGGCACCUCGAUGUCGGCUCAUCACAUCCUGGGGCUGUAGCAGGUCCCAAGGGUAUGGCUGUUCGCCAUUUAAAGUGGUACGCGAGCUGGGUUCAGAACGUCGUGAGACAGUUCGGUCCCUAUCUGCCGUGGGCGUUGGAAACUUGAGGGUGAGCUGUCCUUAGUACGAGAGGACCGGGAUGGACGUAUCUCUGGUGUUCCGGUUGUCACGCCAGUGGCACUGCCGGGUAGCUAUAUACGGACGGGAUAAGCGCUGAAAGCAUCUAAGCGCGAAGCCCCCCCCAAGAUUAGGUUUCCCUGGGAACUCGAUUCCCCUAAAGGGCCGUCGGAGACUACGACGUUGAUAGGCUGGGUGUGUAAGUGCAGCAAUGCAUUGAGCUAACCAGUACUAAUUGCCCGUGAGGCUUGACC
rnacentral:rRNA from 1 species